rnacentral:rRNA from 1 species
AUUGAACGCUGGCGGCAGGCUUAAAACAUGCAAGUCGAGCGAGCGGCGGCCGGGUGAGUAAUGUCCGGGAAACUGCAUGAUGGGGGGGGAUGACUAAUGGAAACGGUAGCUAAUACCGCAUACCCUCAGAUGUGGCAAGAUGGGAUUGGCUAGUAGGUGGGGUAAUGGCUCACCAAGGCGACGAUCCCUAGCUGGUCUGAGAGGAUUAACAGCCACCCUGGAAGUGAUACACGUGCCAGACUCCGACGGGAGGCAGCAGUGGGGAACAUUGGACAAUGGGCGCGACCCUGAUGCGGCCAUGCCGCGUGUUUUAAGAAGGCCGGCGGGUUGUAAAUUACUUUCAGCGAGGAGGCGUUACUCGCAGAAGAAGCACCGGCUAACUCCGUGCCAGCAGCCGCGGUAAUUC